rnacentral:rRNA from 1 species
UACGUAGGUGGCAAGCGUUGUCCGGAUUUACUGGGCGUAAAGGGCGCGUAGGCGGGAUGGCAAGUCGGUCGUGAAAUCCCUCGGCUCAACCGAGGAACGUCGAUCGAUACUGCUGUUCUUGAGGAUUGCAGAGGAGACUGGAAUUCCCGGUGUAGCGGUGAAAUGUGUAGAGAUCGGGAGGAACACCGGUGGCGAAGGCGGGUCUCUGGGCAAUUCCUGACGCUGAGGAGCGAAAGCAUGGGGAGCGAACAGG